AAUAGAUACCCUGGUAGUCCAUGCCGUAAACGUUGGGCACUAGGUGUGGGGCUCAUUCCACGAGUUCCGUGCCGCAGCAAACGCAUUAAGUGCCCCGCCUGGGGAGUACGGCCGCAAGGCUAAAACUCAAAGGAAUUGACGGGGGCCCGCACAAGCGGCGGAGCAUGCGGAUUAAUUCGAUGCAACGCGAAGAACCUUACCAAGGCUUGACAUGCACGGGAAGCCACCAGAGAUGGUGGUCUCUUUGGACACUCGUGCACAGGUGGUGCAUGGUUGUCGUCAGCUCGUGUCGUGAGAUGUUGGGUUAAGUCCCGCAACGAGCGCAACCCUCGUCCCAUGUUGCCAGCGGGUUAUGCCGGGGACUCAUGGGAGACUGCCGGGGUCAACUCGGAGGAAGGUGGGGAUGACGUCAAAUCAUCAUGCCCCUUAUGUCUUGGGCUUCACGCAUGCUACAAUGGCCGGUACAAAGGGCUGCGAUACCGUAAGGUGGAGCGAAUCCCAAAAAGCCGGUCUCAGUUCGGAUUGGGGU
rnacentral:rRNA from 1 species